ACCCCAGCCCCCUGGGCGUUCCCAGUCCUCUGCAGUGCUGCAGGGAGAGGCCCUGACACCCGCCCGACAGUCCCAGGCAAGGCGCUAGACGCCCCGCAACCACUAUAGAAAGCUAACCGGUUCCUCAUUUCAAAGUCCCCUCGCCCCGGCCCAUCAAGCUGUUCCACGAGUGGAGAGCACACACAACAGCCUCAGGCCAUUUCUGACCACCUGGUUACUACUUCACUGUAACUCUAAACCUACCUUCUUCCCAUGGGGACAAAACAGGACUGGUGUGAAAGGCC